AUGGCUCAGAUUGAACGCUGGCGGCAGGCCUAACACAUGCAAGUCGAGCGGUAACAGAAAGUAGCUUGCUACUUUGCUGACGAGCGGCGGACGGGUGAGUAAUGCUUGGGAACAUGCCUUGAGGUGGGGGACAACAGUUGGAAACGACUGCUAAUACCGCAUAAUGUCUACGGACCAAAGGGGGCUUCGGCUCUCGCCUUUAGAUUGGCCCAAGUGGGAUUAGCUAGUUGGUGAGGUAAUGGCUCACCAAGGCGACGAUCCCUAGCUGGUUUGAGAGGAUGAUCAGCCACACUGGGACUGAGACACGGCCCAGACUCCUACGGGAGGCAGCAGUGGGGAAUAUUGCACAAUGGGCGCAAGCCUGAUGCAGCCAUGCCGCGUGUGUGAAGAAGGCCUUCGGGUUGUAAAGCACUUUCAGUCAGGAGGAAAGGUUAGUAGUUAAUACCUAUUAGCUGUGACGUUACUGACAGAAGAAGCACCGGCUAACUCCGUGCCAGCAGCCGCGGUAAUACGGAGGGUGCGAGCGUUAAUCGGAAUUACUGGGCGUAAAGCGUACGCAGGCGGUUUGUUAAGCGAGAUGUGAAAGCCCCGGGCUCAACCUGGGAACUGCAUUUCGAACUGGCAAACUAGAGUGUGAUAGAGGGUGGUAGAAUUUCAGGUGUAGCGGUGAAAUGCGUAGAGAUCUGAAGGAAUACCGAUGGCGAAGGCAGCCACCUGGGUCAACACUGACGCUCAUGUACGAAAGCGUGGGGAGCAAACGGGAUUAGAUACCCCGGUAGUCCACGCCGUAAACGAUGUCUACUAGAAGCUCGGAGCCUCGGUUCUGUUUUUCAAAGCUAACGCAUUA
rnacentral:rRNA from 1 species